rnacentral:misc_RNA from 1 species
CUUCUGCAUCUGUGCUAUAAGCAGGCGUUCCACAGGGAUCAAUUCUAGACCCUUCUCUUUUUCUAAUAUCGGCACAUAUAAAUGAUCUACUAUUUCAUGGUCAUCAUUUUUUACCGCGAAUACAAGACUGGUUUCAGUUUUAAACGCCAAGAAUACCAAAUGGGUAUUUUUCGCGUGGGCCAACGUUAAAACAUUCUCAUUAAAAUUUGAAAAUAAAUAAUAAGUCUUAUGGUUCUAGGCGGCAGUAUUUAUGCAGCUGGGUUAUUAUUUUCACAAAUGGUCAAAAAAUGCUACUCAUUUGUUAGUUUCGACAGUUUUUCUCAAACCCUGAAGGGAGACGGUGCCACUAUCCAGCAUUUGUCCCGGUCCAAAAAAAUCGUAGAUCCGGGGCUGCUGAAGACUGGCAUCUAGUUCCGAUCUUAAUCUGCUGGAUAUGAAAUAUGGUCAGUUUAAGUCUGGCUUGCUCGAAAGGCCAUGAUAAUUUAGAGUACCUAAAACAAUCCAUACGAUUGGCAGUGAAGAAUUUUCUCAUGGAAAGAAUGCAUGAUAUACUUACUGGCCUCAACAUUUAAAGGACUGUAUUGCAGUCAAUAGAGACCACUUCGAAUAAGCUUUAUAUAUUUUAAUGCUUUUAUAUUAAUGUAUUAAACUAACACACUGCAAUAGUAAUAAACGUUACAUGCAACAGAAAAAAAUGUUAUACUCUUUG